rnacentral:lncRNA from 1 species
CGUACCUAAAUAGGAAAUCCACACUAACCUAAUUUUUUAAACAUGCAACAUAUGCACGUCAGCAAUUUGUCACAUCAUCGCGUAGGAUCAAUUAUCACCACUCACGUCUCCUUCUACCGGGCUGUACUGCUCUGUAGUUUGUGCAUGCAACUGAAAUAGGCUGGCUACCGAGCCUAAGUUUAAGAGAGCCCAGCUAGCCCAACGUUUAGAGCCCACCUAGCCCAAGGUUUAAAAUAGGCCAGCUAGCCCAGCAUUAGAGAUGGGAAUAGAGGAUGGGAUGGGCUGGCUGGGAUCGAAGGAGGCAAGAAGGCGUGAGAACAAGCAUCUUAUAAUUUGGAGUUUAUGUUUUUUUUUUUUUCAGAUUGCUCUCCAGUGUGACAGGUGAUCAACAAUUUGUUUUCAAGGGCUAUUGCUGCAAAGUUGGUGCUCCAUUGCUUGAUAGGUCUGCUGUCAUCCUGGCAUAGGUACACAACCUCUAGAUAUUUUAAUUUACUCGCAUGGGAACAUGCAUAUUAGCCUUGAAUGUCAACCUUCUAUUUGUUUAUGCACGUAUUAGAUGACAUAGCACUUACUAAAAUCAUGGAAUAGAAUAUUCUUAUCUACUUUUUAGAUCAUGAAAUACAACUUUUUAGUUUUAAAUUUUAAAUAAAUAUAUCUUUGCAUAAAUGAUCAUGAAACAUGAGUUCAUUUUUAUACAUCACUACAAAUUCCCACAGCAUCGCGCGGGAUAUUAUCUAGUUAUCCAUAUAUUGAUUUGCAAGGAGAAUCCCAAGAGAGCCUUGCAAGCAAAAUAAACAAAUAUCGGAGACUCGUUUGUUUUUAGAGAGAGAGGAAAAUAUUGGAGACUUGUGGCCUAGAUCGCUUCACAGAUUAUGCAAGGACGCCGAAUGAUUCAAGGAAUGAAAAGGGACUUUAGGGCGCUUCGGUUAGGGCAGCCAGGGCACAUGGGUGGAGCCCAGGAUGCCGGCCUGUUCCAGCAGUGAGACAGGCCCAGGAAAAAAAAUGCA